GUAUAGAUCGUUUCUGACCUGUUGUGAAUUGUUGAUAGUAUUUUAUCUGUAUAUAACCAUCCUGCAAGGAAAAGGUUAGUUUAUGCAAUAUGUAUGCAUGCAUGGCAUGGUGCAUCUAAGUAAAUGUAUUAUGCACUUAUGGAUAUGCUAUGGUAUGAUGUAAAUGAUGUAUGUAUGAAUCAUGCGGCCUGAAGCGUCCGAAUAUCUUUGUAUA
rnacentral:lncRNA from 1 species